UUUUAAGAAGUUUUAAAAGUAUACGGGUUUGUUUAUUUCUUUGGUUGCUUUUAAUUUUCCUAAUUGCUAUUAAUUAAGGUAUAUUUUUCUCCUUGAAAUUCUAUAUAUACACAUACUUCCAUAUUUAAAUAGUUGGUAUUAGUUUUCUUGGUGCUAAAAUACUUUACCAUUAUUGACAGGCAUAAUAAUGGAAUAAGAGCAUAUAAAUGGCAAAUUAGGAUGUAUGUUGUCAAGUUGAGGUGCAG
rnacentral:lncRNA from 1 species